rnacentral:rRNA from 1 species
GAUGAAGGCUAGCUACAGGCUUAACACAUGCAAGUCGAGGGGCAUCAGGAAGAAAGCUUGCUUUCUUUGCUGGCGACCGGCGCACGGGUGAGUAACACGUAUCCAACCUGCCCUUUACUCGGGGAUAGCCUUUCGAAAGAAAGAUUAAUACCCGAUAGCAUAAUGAUUCCGCAUGGUUUCAUUAUUAAAGGAUUCCGGUAAAGGAUGGGGAUGCGUUCCAUUAGGUUGUUGGUGAGGUAACGGCUCACCAAGCCUUCGAUGGAUAGGGGUUCUGAGAGGAAGGUCCCCCACAUUGGAACUGAGACACGGUCCAAACUCCUACGGGAGGCAGCAGUGAGGAAUAUUGGUCAAUGGGCGCGAGCCUGAACCAGCCAAGUAGCGUGAAGGAUGACUGCCCUAUGGGUUGUAAACUUCUUUUAUAUUAGAAUAAAGUGCAGUAUGUAUACUGUUUUGUAUGUAUAAUAUGAAUAAGGAUCGGCUAACUCCGUGCCAGCAGCCGCGGUAAUACGGAGGAUCCGAGCGUUAUCCGGAUUUAUUGGGUUUAAAGGGAGCGUAGGUGGACUGGUAAGUCAGUUGUGAAAGUUUGCGGCUCAACCGUAAAAUUGCAGUUGAUACUGUCAGUCUUGAGUACAGUAGAGGUGGGCGGAAUUCGUGGUGUAGCGGUGAAAUGCUUAGAUAUCACGAAGAACUCCGAUUGCGAAGGCAGCUCACUGGACUGCAACUGACACUGAUGCUCGAAAGUGUGGGUAUCAAACAGGAUUAGAUACCCUGGUAGUCCACACAGUAAACGAUGAAUACUCGCUGUUUGCGAUAUACAGUAAGCGGCCAAGCGAAAGCAUUAAGUAUUCCACCUGGGGAGUACGCCGGCAACGGUGAAACUCAAAGGAAUUGACGGGGGCCCGCACAAGCGGAGGAACAUGUGGUUUAAUUCGAUGAUACGCGAGGAACCUUACCCGGGCUUAAAUUGCAGUGGAAUGAUGUGGAAACAUGUCAGUGAGCAAUCACCGCUGUGAAGGUGCUGCAUGGUUGUCGUCAGCUCGUGCCGUGAGGUGUCGGCUUAAGUGCCAUAACGAGCGCAACCCUUAUCUUUAGUUACUAACAGGUCAUGCUGAGGACUCUAGAGAGACUGCCGUCGUAAGAUGUGAGGAAGGUGGGGAUGACGUCAAAUCAGCACGGCCCUUACGUCCGGGGCUACACACGUGUUACAAUGGGGGGUACAGAAGGCAGCUACCUGGUGACAGGAUGCUAAUCCCAAAAGCCUCUCUCAGUUCGGAUCGAAGUCUGCAACCCGACUUCGUGAAGCUGGAUUCGCUAGUAAUCGCGCAUCAGCCACGGCGCGGUGAAUACGUUCCCGGGCCUUGUACACACCGCCC